rnacentral:rRNA from 1 species
CAAGUGAAAUUGUGUGAAAGGGAAGCGUUUGCGACCAGACUUCUCCAGACGGAUCAUUUGGUGUUCUCACCGGUGCACUUCGUCUGGUCUAGGCAGCAUCGGUUUCUUUAGGGGGAUAAAGGCGUAGGGAACGUAGCUCUUUCGGGAGUGUUUAUAGCCUUUCGCGUAAUACCAUUCGAGGGACCGAGGACCGCGCUCUGCAAGGAUGCUGGCGUAAUGGUCGUCAACGACCCGUCUUGAAACACGGACCAAGGAGUCGAACAUUUGUGCGAGUGUUUGGGUGUUAAACCCUCACGCGUAAUGAAAGUGAACGGAGGUGAGAGCCCUUACGGGUGCAUCAUCGACCGAUCCUGAUGUCUUCGGAUGGAUUUGAGUAAGAGCAUAACUGUUCGGACCCGAAAGAUGGUGAACUAUGCGUGGAUAGGGUGAAGCCAGAGGAAACUCUGGUGGAGGCUCGCAGCGGUUCUGACGUGCAAAUCGAUCGUCAAAUCUGCGCAUGGGGGCGAAAGUACGUAUUAUUCUAUACCUAUACACUUCUAUAACGACAUAUAUACUAACAGCUAUGCUUCUAGGACUUAUCGAACCAUGAAACCAGCGGUAAAUAUAUCUUACUAGGUGGUUAAGAGGUCCCCUGAAAAAGGGGGGCCUAGGUUGUGGGAGGUGCUACCCGGGAGCUACCCUGUAGUUACCCUGGAGCUACCCUGUAGACCGACAUCGCUAAAUUGCGGGGACAUCCUAUAUAUACAAGGCCGCGGGCUACCGCCUCGUGCUGAAAAGCAUGCUGGCACCAAGAAUAAUGCUCUUGGGUAUGGUAAGAACGCCCGCGGUACCGGAUUACCCGCAGCCAACCCCGUGCGAGGGGAGAGUUCACUGACUAAAUAGCGAUGGGUUGGCAUGGACUUGCCAGCUUAAGAUAUAGUCGAUUUGGCACCUGAAAAGG